UCGGAUUCAUUGGGCGUAAAGGGUGCGUAGGCGGCGCGGUAAGUCGGGUGUGAAAUCUCGGGGCUUAACUCCGAAACUGCAUUCGAUACUGCCGUGCUUGAGGACUGGAGAGGAGACUGGAAUUUACGGUGUAGCGGUGAAAUGCGUAGAUAUCGUAAGGAAGACCAGUGGCGAAGGCGGGUCUCUGGACAGUUCCUGACGCUGAGGCACGAAGGUCAGGGGAGCAAACGGGAUUAGAUACCCCGGUAGUCCUGACAGUAAACGGUGCACGUUUGGUGUGGGAGGAUUCGACCCCUUCUGCGCCGGAGCUAACGCGUUAAACGUGCCGCCUGGGGAGUACGGUCGCAAGAUUAAAACUCAAAGAAAUUGACGGGGGCCCGCACAAGCGGUGGAGUAUGUGGCUCAAUUCGAUGCAACGCGAAGAACCUUACCAGGCCUUGACAUGCAUUGCUAAGUUGGUGAAAGCCAGCGACCGGAGCAAUCCAGACCUUGCACAGGUGCUGCAUGUCUGUCGUCAGCUCGUGUCGUUAGAUGUUGGGUUAAGUCCCGCAACGAGCGCAACCCCUGUGAACUGUUGCCACGGAACCGAGAGGUUCCAGCACUCUGUUCAGACUGCCCCGCUCUAACGGGGAGGAAGGUGGGGACGACGUCAAGUCAGUAUGGCCCUUACGGCCUGGGCUGCACACGUANUACAAUGCCCAGUACAGAACGAUCCGAGACCGCGAGGUGGAGGAAAUCACUAAA
rnacentral:rRNA from 1 species